AGCUGUUAGGACUUUGGCAACUCUUGGAGGUGGACUAAAUGUCUUUUGUAUAAAGGAUGUACAUGAGUCCUGGGGGCCAGGGGUGGAAUGUCAUGGUUUAUGUUUGUGUCCCCCAGGCCUCAUGAGUUUGCAUUGUUCAUUUGUGAUGGUUCAUUGUACAGUGCUUGGAUUGAUGGUGUCAGUGCUCCGCCCAUAUAGGGGUGGAGCCUGGAUGUAAUGUAAUGGCAGGAAGAAGGUGUGUUUUUUCUCUUUGCUGGUUUGAGUUUGCUGUGGGUGGCCGCCAUGAACUGCAGCCCAGCCAUGCCUGCCUGUCUUGGAGCCAACUGAGUGUGGACUGAAACCUCCAAAAACUCUCACAAUUUGUAGAAGCUUCGCUUCAUGGUUGGCUGGCUCCACAGAAGGUUGACUUGCAGACGGGUCUUAUAGAGGAGAAGUUGUUCAUCGCUGGCAGAAGUAACAAGCAGCAAGCAGCAAGCAACCCACCAAGGAUUCUAUUCAUAAUGCAAAAAGGAGAACUUUCCCGGAAGCUCAUGGUUACAUUCAUUUGACUCAGGAAACCACUCCUUGAACACUGUGUUAAUCUUUGAAGGGACUUGCUGAUGCACGCUGCCAUGAUUGUUUUACUACACAUCACUGACUAGAUAUCAAAACAGAUGGCAGCAUCUACUUCUGUGGAAGAAAAGCAGGAGUGCAGAGCUUUGCUGUAGGUACAUUUGAAGCUCUCACAACUCCUGAGCCUCAAGAACAACAAGCACUUCUCAGAUAUCUCAGGUCAUAAUGAACACUAAGUCACCUGGCCAAUGACAAAAAUAUAAAGGAGAAAAGAAAAAAAAACAGUGAAGGGGUACAAGUUAUACAGAUUUACAGAAGAAAAAAAUGUGCAGUAGGAAAUCACUAGUUAAUGGAUUACAUAUUGUCAUCUUAGAAAUAAUUGUUCAAGUCACAAAAUUAAAGCUUGUAAAGUGGACAUUCCAUCAAUGAU